UGAGUACGAGCGGCUACGGCCGCGAAGUGGAUGAUGUCAAGCUUCCAAGAAAAGCCCUAUACCCGUUAAGGCAUGAUGGCCUGUACCCGAAACCGACACAGGUGGGGUGGUAGAGAAUACCGAGGGGCGCGAGGUAACUCUCUCUAAGGAACUCGGCAAAAUGGCCCCGUAACUUCGGGAGAAGGGGUGCCACCGCGAGGUGGUCGCAGUGAAGAGGCCCAGGCGACUGUUUACCAAAAACACAGGUCUCCGCUAAGUCGCAAGACGAUGUAUGGGGGCUGACGCCUGCCCAGUGCCGGAAGGUUAAGGAAGCUGGUCAGCGCAAGCGAAGCUGGCGACUGAAGCCCCGGUGAACGGCGGCCGUAACAAUAACGGUCCUAAGGUAGCGAAAUUCCUUGUCGGGUAAGCUCCGACCCGCACGAAAGGCGUAACGAUCUGGGCGCUGUCUCGGAGAGAGGCUCGGCGAAAUAGAAUUGUCUGUGAAGAUGCGGACUACGUGCACCCGGACAGAAAGACCCUAUGAAGCUUUACUGUAGCUUGGUAUUGUGCUCGGGCUCGGAAUGCGCAGGAUAGGUGGGAGGCUUUGAUCCAUUGCUUGCGGGUGAUGGUGAGCCACUGGUGAGAUACCACUCUUUCCGAGCUAGAGUUCUAACAGCAACCCGUUAUCCGGGUGCUGGACAGUAUCAGGUGGGCAGUUUGACUGGGGCGGUCGCCUCCUAAAAGGUAACGGAGGCGCGCAAAGGUCUGCUCAGGCUGGUUGGAAAUCAGCCGACGAGUGUAAAAGCAGAAGCAGGCUUGACUGCGAGACCUACAAGUCGAACAGGGAGGAAACUCGGCUUUAGUGAUCCGACGGUUCUGCGUGGAAGGGCCGUCGCUCAACGGAUAAAAGUUACUCUAAGGAUAACAGGCUGAUCUCCCCCAAGAGUUCACAUCGACGGGGAGGUUUGGCACCUCGAUGUCGGCUCAUCGCAACCUGGGGCUGAAGUCGGUCCCAAGGGUUGGGCUGUUCGCCCAUUAAAGCGGUACGCGAGCUGGGUUCAGAACGUCGUGAGACAGUUCGGUCCAUAUCCGGUGCACGCGCAGGAAUAUUGAGAGGAUUUCUCCCUAGUACGAGAGGACCGGGAGGAACGCACCUCUGGUGUGCCAGUUAUCGUGCCAACGGUAAACGCUGGGUAGCCAUGUGCGGAGUGGAUAACCGCUGAAAGCAUCUAAGUGGGAAGCCCACCUCAAGAUGAGUAUUCCCAUGGCAUAAGCCAGUAAGGUCACGGGAAGAACACCCGUUGAUAGGCUCUACGUGGAAGCGCAGUAAUGUGUGAAGCGGAGGAGUACUAAUAGACCGAGGGCUUGACCA
rnacentral:rRNA from 1 species